UUAUAAAGACAUAAAUAAAUGUGACAAUUCAUAGCAAGAAGUAGCUAAUGUAAUGCAUUUAUCUGUAAAGAAAUGCGUAAAUGGUCGAUGAUCUAGAUUAUGACAAUACUAUUCAAAGGAAAGACAAAAACAGGAAAACAUGCCAAGUGGUUCUGCAUCUAAUAAAAACAAACCAUGAGAUUUAUACGAACACAUGUCAUUUAUCAACAAGCAUAUAUAUAAAAGAAAAUAAUAAUCUAUUUUUUGCUAAAAUUA